rnacentral:rRNA from 1 species
UGGGGGGCCUUCGGGAGGCAGCAGUGGGGAAUAUUGCACAAUGGGCGAAAGCCUGAUGCAGCGACGCCGCGUGAGGGAUGACGGCCUUCGGGUUGUAAACCUCUUUCAGUAGGGAAGAAGCGCAAGUGACGGUACCUGCAGAAGAAGCGCCGGCUAACUACGUGCCAGCAGCCGCGGUAAUACGUAGGGCGCAAGCGUUGUCCGGAAUUAUUGGGCGUAAAGAGCUCGUAGGCGGUUUGUCGCGUCCGCUGUGAAAGCCCGGGGCUCAACCCCGGGUCGGCAGUGGGUACGGGCAGACUAGAGUGCAGUAGGGGAGACUGGAAUUCCUGGUGUAGCGGUGAAAUGCGCAGAUAUCAGGAGGAACACCGAUGGCGAAGGCAGGUCUCUGGGCUGUUACUGACGCUGAGGAGCGAAAGCAUGGGGAGCGAACAGGAUUAGAUACCCUGGUAGUCCAUGCCGUAAACGUUGGGCACUAGGUGUGGGGGACAUUCCACGUCCUCCGCGCCGUAGCUAACGCAUUAAGUGCCCCUGCCUGGGAGU